AGGUUUUAACGGCGUUUUUUUAACGGCGUUUUUUUAAACGCCACUUUUUUUAAUUUUUAAUGGCGUUUUAUAACUGCCACGUAUUUGUUAACCAAAACGGCACCGUUUUAUAAUUGAAAACGCCUCCAAAUGCGGUAGGCACACGCGCGUCCUCCGUCCUUCCUUAUUUUGAAUCUCAGCCCUUUCUUUCUCUCAACCCUUAUACGCACACACAUCUCUCUCUCUCACUCAACCCUCUCUAAGCUCCAUCGAAGCUCCAUCUGCACCGGCGAUUUCGAAGAUUCAAAGCAAUUUCGAAGCUCCAUCGCCAGCACGAUCUGCACCGGCGAGAGAUUCAGAGGUUCAGUGAUUUCAGAGCGAUUUCUAUUUCGAAGCUCCGUCGCCACCACCAUCUGCACCGCCGAUUUCGAUUUCACUAAGAAGCUCAGAUCUGAACUCUGACCCCUCGAUUACUCGCUUUUCAAGCUCCAAUGGCGGUAGCACAAUAGCCAAGCCUAUAUGUUCAAUCUGCUACGAAGAUCUCAAUCCAAUCAUCGAAGCCCUUCAAUCAAUCUCCAUUUGCGGCCAUGUCUUCCACGAGCUCUGCCUUCAACAAUGUAUCGAGUACUGUUCAAAUGUGAAGAAAAAACGAUGUCCUGUAUGCAAGCAGGCCUUUUCGGAGGCCAAUGUUAGUCGGCUUUAUUUCCAAUCAGUAGGCAACCUCUAUCAGAAAUUGAUCAAUUGCGAAGAUAAUCCAGGGGAGUUGCAUAGGGAAAUGGAGAAAUUGGAAGGGAAGGUUUUAGGACUCAGAUCGGCGAUAGAGCGUCAUCAGAAAGAUGUCGAAGAACUCAAUGAGGAGGAACUUGAUAGAUCAACUUUGGAGUGCGUAAGGCUGCAGGAAAGGAAUAUGGUAUUGGCCAAAGAGCUUGCAACGUUGAAACUGUAAGUGCCUUCAUACUAGUGACAGAACCAUUUAUGUUUCGAGUCUCCAAACGAACUUUGUUGAUUAUUAUGGCUGUCUGAUCGAAACACUUCGAGAUCGAAUGUUUAGGCCCUUUUUGUCUACAAUCAUUCCUGAGAAUUCAAGGUAGGUAAUAUCUUCUCUGUUUUUUAGUUCCUUACAUAGAUUUUAUUUUGUAUAUUAUGUGGCUAUUUUUGAUAAAAUAAAUUUCCCAACAUAAUAGAAGUUGGAUUACCAAGCAGGCCUUUUCGGAGGCCAAUGUUACUCUGGAUUUGUGCAUUAUUAAUGGAUAAUAGGCAGCGUCUGAAAUUUUCAAAUGUUGGUAUUUAUUCAUUUAUUAUUAAUGGAUAAUGGUAUUUAUUCAUUUAUUAUUAUUUUUUUGUUGGGUAUUCUCGUAGCUCUGUGAUGGACGAUUGCUUGCAAAUAACGGGUGAGUUGCUGAGAUGAGAGAUACUUUAUUGAAAAAAGAGAGUUGGUGAGAGAUAAGCAUGUGAUGGGAGCAACUGGUGUUGUAUUACCAAACAGUGGUAGCAAAGUGUAUAGAUUGUGAUUUUUUUUUUUGUCACAUCUGGUUCCUUUGUUUUCUUUUGUUUUUACUUUGAAGGACAUAAUACGUAUGGAGAGAAUCAAAGUGUUUAGUUGCUUGUUGAGAGUGUCGCAGCUUGUCAACAUAUUGCCUUAAAAUUUGAAUCCUCGGUUCCUUACCAUGUGCUCAUAUUGGUUGAUACUUACUUUUAUUUAUCUAAAAUGCCAGGAUUUUUAUUUUGUCAUUAGCUGCAGUCUUUGAAGUUGGCCAUUCUUUAAUUUUAAGUUUUGCAUGCCAUGUCUGAGUCAUUAGCCUUUUUGUCGGAGUUGCAUUAUCUUUCUGUAGUUUUCUUCCUGUUGUAAUUUGUAUGUCCUGCUAGCUCACUAUUGUUUUUUCAGUUUGGAUGUAUAUUGCCUCGUAUGGAUGGAAUCUAACAGCUUUAACUAACUUGCAGUUCAAGAAUUGCACAGCAAGGAAGUGAAAUCGUCAUCUGAUUCAUAUUUGAAAGGUCUCACGAUAUUAAAGGUGAUCUUGGGAACAGUUUGAUGCUUAAAAUACUUACAAGUUUCCCUGAACAAAGUGCUGAAGUGUUUAGUUGCAUGGUUACCCAACAGGUUUUUACAUAUUUAUGUGAGAUUACUAUUACUAUCCCGUGGAGAAUCUUAUCAGCUAAAUUCUGAGUGAUCUGCCUCAUUAUGUUUUAUCAUGUGCGAUCUUCAAAUUUUCUAGUCUGAUACUUAUUGGAGCUUGUUUUAAUUCUAAAUUGCUAUUGUUGUUCAUUCACAUUUGUGUUUUGUGUGAAAUGCAAAAGUCAUGUUCUCGAUAUCCCUGUUGAAGCAGAUUAUUUACAGAAAUUUCUAUUAUUUUUACCAAAAGUAGAU